UAGCACAUUUUUUUUUGGUGCCCUAUUGUGCCCCUGUAUGGUAUUGGGUGAGCUGACGCCCCUGGUCUAGUUUCCCACCUGCUGUACCCUUCAAAUGCUGAAAGAAAAGCGUGGAGGAUGAGCGACGGUAUACACCGCGUUAUAUAGACACGAUACUGUGGGAAAUGUGGGCGGUGCCCACGCUGAUUGGUGUAUUGUUUAACAUUUUCAGGGGGACAAGCCCAUAAGGCAAAGCCUAGACGGCUUGACACGUUGGGCUCAGCUGCACUUGGAGUUUAUGGGCUUUCCACGGAAAAAGUACGGCACCGACUGUGGCAUCUUCAUGUUGAUGCAUGUCCUUUACAAAGUGAUGGAUGCACCCUUUGACUUCACUGUUAUUGAUAUGCCGGCAUUGAGAAAAUGGUGGUGUAUCAUGCUGAUCGAAAAUCUUGAC
rnacentral:lncRNA from 1 species